UGCAGUCGAGCGGCAGCGCGGGGGCAACCCUGGCGGCGAGCGGCGAACGGGUGAGUAAUACAUCGGAACGUGUCCAGUAGCGGGGGAUAACCUGUCGAAAGAUAGGCUAAUACCGCAUACGACCUACGGGUGAAAGCGGGGGACUCUCGGGCAACUGAGGGCCUCGCACUAUUGGAGCGGCCGAUGUCGGAUUAGCUAGUUGGCGGGGUAAAAGCCCACCAAGGCGACGAUCCGUAGCUGGUCUGAGAGGACGAUCAGCCACACUGGAACUGAGACACGGUCCAGACUCCUACGGGAGGCAGCAGUGGGGAAUUUUGGACAAUGGGGGCAACCCUGAUCCAGCCAUGCCGCGUGAGUGAAGAAGGCCUUCGGGUUGUAAAGCUCUUUCGGCGGGGACGAAAUGGUUCGUGACAACACCACGGACUGAUGACGGUACUCGCAUAAGAAGCACCGGCUAACUACGUGCCAGCAGCCGCGGUAAUACGUAGGGUGCGGGCGUUAAUCGGAAUUACUGGGCGUAAAGCGUGCGCAGGCGGCUCCUUAAGUCAGAUGUGAAAUCCCCGGGCUUAACCUGGGAACUGCGUUUGAAACUGAGGGGCUUGAGUGUGGAAGAGGGGGGUGGAAUUCCAGGUGUAGCAGUGAAAUGCGUAGAGAUCUGGAGGAACACCGAUGGCGAAGGCAGCCCCCUGGGCUAACACUGACGCUCAUGCAC
rnacentral:rRNA from 1 species